GACGAACGCUGGCGGCGUGCUUAACACAUGCAAGUCGAACGGUGAAGCGCCUUCCUUUUUGGUGGGUGUGGAUGAGUGGCGAACGGGUGAGUAACACGUGAGUAACCUGCCCCCUUCUUCUGGAUAACCGCAUGAAAGUGUGGCUAAUACGGGAUAUUCUGGGUCUGUCGCAUGAUGGGUCUGGGAAAGAUAUUGUUUCGGUGGGGGAUGGGCUCGCGGCCUAUCAGCUUGUUGGUGGGGUGAUGGCCUACCAAGGCGGUGACGGGUAGCCGGCCUGAGAGGGUGGACGGUCACAAUGGGAAUGAGACACGGCCCAGACUCCUAAGGGAGGCAGCAGUGGGGAAUAUUGCACAAUGGGCGCAAGCCUGAUGCAGCGACGCCGCGUGAGGGAUGGAGGCCUGCGGGUUGUGAACCUCUUUCGCCAGUGAAGCAGGCCUGCCUCGUUUGUGGGUGGGUUGACGGUAGCUGGAUAAGAAGCGCCGGCUAACUACGUG
rnacentral:rRNA from 1 species